rnacentral:rRNA from 1 species
CCUACGGGAGGCAGCAGUGAGGAAUAUUGGUCAAUGGGCUUACGCCUGAACCAGCCAAGUCGCGUGAGGGAAGACUGCCCUAUGGUUUGUAAACCUCUUUUGUCAGGGAGCAACGCCGGCUACGUGUAGCCGGACAGCGAGUACCUGAUGAAAAAGCAUAGGCUAACUCGGUGCCGGCAGCCGGGGUAAUACGGAGGAUGCGAGCGUUAUCCGGAUUGAUUGGGUGUAAGGGGUGCGUAGGCGGAAUGUAAAGUCACAGGGAAAAAUUCGGGGCUCAACCACGUCGUGCCGUUGAAACUGAUGUUCUUGAGUGGGCGAGAAGUAUGCGGAAUGCGUGGUGUAGCGGUGAAAUGCGUAGAUAUCACGCAGAACACCAGUUGCGAAGGCAGCAUACCGGCGCCCAACUGACGCUGAAACACGAAAGCGUGGGUAUCGAACAGGAUUAGAUACCCUUGUAGUC